CUUCAACGAACCCAGCCACAACGGCCGCCCGGCAUCCCGACCCUGCCCGUACGUCGCCAACAGCGCCUGCGCCUC
rfam:Streptomyces sp. MMG1121 P433contig103.1, whole genome shotgun sequence.